GGAAGAUUGGCAGAGAUGGCCGAUUGCGACUGUUUGCUAAACAGUAGAGGGUGUAAAAGCCCUCCACAGGUUCGAAUCCUGUAUCUUCCG
rnacentral:tRNA from 1 species